UGAAGACAUUGUUUUCACUUUGAAAUGUUUUACUAAUGAAUUGUCAUAUACUACUCUCGUUUUGAUUGGCUGUCACUCAUGUUUGCAGUGUUUGCUCUCCAGUGUCUUACCAAAAGGACACAAAAUGUGUGAGCUUAUGAUUAUUAAUGAAGGAGUAAACUACUGGAAGAAAGAGACAGUAUAGGAAGAAAAAUUUCACAGUUCUUGACUUGGAUUCAAAUCUUUUUAUACAGAGCUGAGAAUAAGGCAUGUGGUUUAGAACUUCCAGCUGUCUGAGAGCAACUCCAUAUGGAUCCAUUAGCCUCACCCUCCCUCUGUCGGAGGCAAAUGUGGAGAUACAAGAACAUAAAGGCAGAUAAAAGAAAUGAAGAAAUCAUUGAGUGGCAGGACUGAAAACAGUACUAAGGAGAUGGAACACAGUAAGAAGAACCAAACAGAAAUUUUGGAGAACUCUUCAAACUAUGAAACUAAAAGUGGCACUGAGAGCUUUAACAGAAUCAACUCAGUCAAAACAAGAAUUUCUGAGUCAAGGACAGGGCUUUGAAACAACCC